rnacentral:lncRNA from 1 species
CUGGCCUUCUGCGUCUGCUGGCGCCUGCAGGGCGUCGUCUCCGACGUGACGGCGGCCGCGCGGCGUUUCCCUUGGGCUCUGCCCUGCGCAGCCCUGGUCCGAGCUGGCCAGUAAGGCCCCGCGCCCUCCCCGCCUCGCCGCGAGGAUCCACCGCGGCCGCCCAGGCUGUUGGCCUUGUCCUCACGGCUCGGAGAUAAGCCGGCGCUGGUCACACCGCGAAACCCCUGUUCGCACUGAGACCCCGCUCGGGAUCAUGCGCACAGGCCAGGGCGCAGCAAGCCUUGGAGAAGCUACCUGCACAGCCCAUUCCUUGCGCGAGCUUCGCAUCUUCUGCCUCAGUUUCCUUACCUGUAAAGGGGUGAUCAUAGGACAUCCUUGGUCACACCUUUGUGGGACCCACCUGGGCUAGAGCGCGGUACCCGCCCAGGACAGUGACUGCUGCUGGAAACCGUCGUGGCACUGGGGUCACCUCCCCAAGGCCCUCAGUUUCCAUGAUGGCUCAGCACAGAUGACUAUCCUGACCACCUCACACCCCUCCUUCCUCAAGAGGGUUCUGGCGUUUCUCUUUGCUCCCUGGAGGAAGUGGGCUUCCUGCAAGCAGAGCUGUGCCCAGGACCAUGCCAGCCCAUGACAGGCAUUCACCCUGUUCUAACCAGUGAACAAAGGGGAGGAGUAAUUUUUUCAACAAAUGGUGCUGGGAUCUUGCAGGUACCUGAACAUAUGCAAGCUCCUGGAGGGCAGCAUGCCCAGGGAGGGCAGGUAAGCUCUGUGCCCACACCCCCACAACAAACACACACACACAUAUACAUACCCCACACACACAUACCCAACACACGCACACACCCAACACACGCACACAUACCCAACGCACACACUGAACACACACAUACACACACCCAUCAUAACACACACACACACACCCAACACACACCUACACAACCCCCAGACACACACACUCAACACACACACAUACCCAACACACACACAUACCCAACACACAUCCCAGCAUACACAGCAUACACACAUACCCAACACACAUCCCAGCAUACACAGCAUACACACAUACCCAACACAACACACACCAACACACACAACACACAUAACACACUUCCAACACACACAUACACAUACCCAACACACAACAUACACAUAUACACCCCCAAUACACACAACACAUGCCCAGCGCACACAACACACACAUAUACACACCAAACACACACACACGCCUAA